CGGACGGGUGAGUAACGCGUGGAUAACCUGCCUCACACUGGGGGAUAACAGUUAGAAAUGGCUGCUAAUACCGCAUAAGCGCACAGUACCGCAUGGUACGGUGUGAAAAACCCAGGUGGUGUGAGAUGGGUCCGCGUCUGAUUAGCCAGUUGGCGGGGUAACGGCCCACCAAAGCGACGAUCAGUAGCCGACCUGAGAGGGUGACCGGCCACAUUGGGACUGAGACACGGCCCAA
rnacentral:rRNA from 1 species